rnacentral:rRNA from 1 species
GCACAAGCGGUGGAUGAUGUGGUUAAUUCGAUGCAACGCGAAAACCUUACCACCUUUGACAUGUACGGAAUCCUUUAGAGAUAGAGGAGUGCUCGAAAGAGAACCGUAACACAGGUGCUGCAUGGCUGUCGUCAGCUCGUGUCGUGAGAUGUUGGGUUAAGUCCCGCAACGAGCGCAACCCUUGUCAUUAGUUGCUACAUUCAGUUGGGCACUCUAAUGAGACUGCCGGUGACAAACCGGAGGAAGGUGGGGAUGACGUCAAGUCCUCAUGGCCCUUAUAGGUGGGGCUACACACGUCAUACAAUGGAUGGUACAAAGGGUCGCCAACCCGCGAGGGGGAGCCAAUCCCAUAAAGCCAUUCGUAGUCCGGAUCGCAGUCUGCAACUCGACUGCGUGAAGUCGGAAUCGCUAGUAAUCGCGGAUCAGCAUGUCGCGGUGAAUACGUUCCCGGGUCUU